AUCCUGGUCAGAAAAGGGGCUUGGGAUCCCGGGCUCUGGCCCCGGGGACGCCGGUUCGAAUCCGGCCCGGGCUA
rnacentral:tRNA from 1 species